UGAAGGUGCUGCAUGGUUGUCGUCAGCUCGUGCCGUGAGGUGUCGGCUUAAGUGCCAUAACGAGCGCAACCCUUAUCGAUAGUUACCAUCAGGUUAUGCUGGGGACUCUGUCGAGACUGCCGUCGUAAGAUGUGAGGAAGGUGGGGAUGACGUCAAAUCAGCACGGCCCUUACGUCCGGGGCUACACACGUGUUACAAUGGGGGGUACAGAAGGCAGCUACACGGCGACGUGAUGCUAAUCCCGAAAGCCUCUCUCAGUUCGGAUUGGAGUCUGCAACCCGACUCCAUGAAGCUGGAUUCGCUAGUAAUCGCGCAUCAGCCACGGCGCGGUGAAUACGUUCCCGGGCCUUGUACACACCGCCCGUCAAGCCAUGAAAGCCGGGGGUACCUGAAGUGCGUAACCGCAAGGAGCGCCCUAGGGUAAAACUGGUGAUUGGGGCUAAGUCGUAACAAGGUAGCCGUACCGGAAGGUGCGGCUGGAUCACCUC
rnacentral:rRNA from 1 species